CAAUAGCAUAUGUUAAAGUUGUUGCGGUUAAAAAGCUCGUAGUUGGAUCUCUGUUGGGUGUCGGCGGUUCUGUUUCAUGCAGCGACUGCUGAAAUAACCCAACGUAUUUGGGGUGUUAUUCGGAGUGGUGCUCUUAACCGAGUGUCCUUCGAGUCCCCCAGGUUGACUUUGAAAAAAUUAGAGUGCUCCAGGCAGGCCUAAUAAGCCUGAAUAAUAGUGCAUGGAAUGAUGGAAUAGGACGUCGAUUCUGUUCUGUUGGUUCUCAAGAAUUGGACGUAAUGAUUGACAGGGACGGUCGGGGGCAUUGGUAUUCCGGCGCUAGAGGUGAAAUUCUUGGACCGCCGGAAGACCCACCACUGCGAAAGCAUUUGCCAAGAAUGUUUUCAUUAA
rnacentral:rRNA from 1 species